rnacentral:rRNA from 1 species
CUUGAACGCUGGCGGCAUGCCUUACACAUGCAAGUCGAACGGCAGCCCGGGUGCUUGCACCUGCUGGCAAGUGGCGAACGGGUGAGUAAUACAUCGGAACGUACCUUAUCGUGGGGGCUCACGCAGCGAAAGCUGUGCUAAUCCCGCAUACGCCCUGAGGGGGCAAGCGGUGGACCGCAAGACCUCGCGCGCUUAGAGCGGCCGCUGCCUGAUUAGCUUGUUGGUGGGGUAAAAGCCCACCAAGGCGACGAUCAGUAGCUGGUCUGAGAGGACGGUCAGCCACACUGGGACUGAGACACGGCCCAGACUCCUACGGGAGGCAGCGGUGGGGAAUUUUGGACAAUGGGGGCAACCCUGAUCCAGCAAUGCCGCGUGAGUGAAGAAGGCCUUCGGGUUGUAAAGCUCUUUUGUCAGGGAAGAAACACCGGCUCUAACACAGUCCGGGAAUGACGGUACCUGAAGAAUAAGCACCGGCUAACUACGUGCCAGCCGCCGCCGUAA